AUUGAACGCUGGCGACAGGCUUAACACAUGCAAGUCGAGCGAGCGGCGGACGGGUGAGUAAUGUCUGGGAAACUGCCUGAUGGAGGGGGAUAACUACUGGAAACGGUAGCUAAUACCGCAUACCAUCAGAUGUGCCCAGAUGGGAUUAGCUAGUAGGUGGGGUAAUGGCUCACCUAGGCGACGAUCCCUAGCUGGUCUGAGAGGAUGACAGCCAACAUUGGAACGGAGACAGGGUCCAGAUUCCUAGGGGAGGAAGCAGGGGGAAAUGUUGGACAAUGGGCGAAGGCCGGAUGCGGAAAUGCGGGGUGGGGAAGGCAGGCCUGCGGGUGGUAAGGCACGUUAAGCGGGGAGGCGUUACUCGAAUAGGAAGCAACGGCUAACUCCGUGCCAGCAGCCGCGGUAAUAC
rnacentral:rRNA from 1 species